CCAGAGCCAGACCUCCACCUCCUCACCCAGAGCCAGACCUCCACCUCCUCACCCAGAGCCAGACCUCCACCUCCUCACCCAGAGCCAGACCUCCACCUCCUCACCCAGAGCCAGACCUCCACCUCCCGUCAGAAGUCCUUCAGAACAGCUGAAAGGUGAGGCUGAGAGGCUGGGGACCGGCUUGUGGUGCCAGGAUGGACCGGAGACUGAGGCUGGAGACCAAGGGCCUGCAGCACCGGACCAGAGGACCAGGAAUCCAUGGCUGAAGGAGCUGAUGGAGGAGCCGUGCGGAAGGAGCUGAUGGAGGAGUCGGGCUGAAGGCCCUGCCUGGUGGAGGAGCUGAUGGAGGAGUCGUGCUGAAGGAGCUGAUGGAGGAGCCGUGCUGAAGGAGCUGAUGAAGGAGCCGUGCUGACGGAGCUGAUGGAGGAGCCGUACGGAAGGAGCUGAUGAAGGAGCCGUGCUGACGGAGCUGAUGGAGGAGCCGUGCGGAAGGAGCUGAUGGAGGAGUCGUGCUGAAGGCCCUGCCUUGUGGAGGCCCUGCAUGAUGAAGGACGUCUGUCGUGGGACCAGGACUCUGUCUGAGGAGAGCUGCUGGAGGAACUGAGACGCUGGAGGACGACUAGGAACCGACCAACAAGGAUUCCUCAACGUGUUUCUGGAGCGGAGGCGAGCUGGUAGGGGAGCCGUGAAUCUGGAGGAUGACCAUCACUCUACCAACCAGGGUUUCUUUAGGGCCAGACUCGCGCUGUUUGUUCCAGACCACGACUCGGGCUGAGGAGAGCUGAUGGAGGAGCCAAGACUCUGGAGGACGACAUCACUCCACCAACCAGGAUCCUCACCAGGAACCUGGAGGACUGAUGGAGAAGCCGUACAUCUGGAAGGCUAAUCCUGAGGACCACCAGAACUCUACCAUCAAGGAUUCCUCAUAAGUUUGCAUCAUCUGGACAUAGUGGACUAGACACACCUGAGCUGAACCCGCCCUGAUCCUGACAUCCUGCUGGUCCCGUCUCCUCAGUUCAUCUUGGCCUCAUCCUCCAGAAGACCUGCUGAGCUCAGCAGUCUGAGGUUGAUGGAUCAAUGACCUCCAGUGGGAGUGAUCUUCUUGACCCCCCCUUGUAACCGUGUGCUUCCACACGCCUUUUUCUCACGUCUGUCACUAACCUCACUACUUCACUACUCUCUACUGCUUCCUCUUCUUCUUCCUUCUCUGUGGUUCGAACCUUUACACUGGAGGCGCGUCUCCAUGCCCUCAGAGGGUUUAGCGUUAGGGUUGAGAGUCAGGGUUUAGAGUCAGGGACAGAGCUGGUCAGGGAGGACUGCUUUUACACAAACCUCUUCACUUGCUUUCGGAAUGGUGGUGACAUUUUGAAAAGAUUCAUUUGGGAAAAUGUUUUCCUCUGCUUUCCUUUACAAAUUGUAUUAACCUUUUGUCAAGUGUUUUUGUUUAUAUAUUAAAAUCCCACAUUGACUUCUACAUGUUUGUUGCGGUUCAUUUAAUUGUCCUUUAACUUGGUUAAUGUCAAGCUAAACUCCUGCAAUACAUUUAAUAUACAUGAUUGUUAUUCUGCAAUGUUCACAUAAUCCAUUUUGUAAAAAUAUGAAACCUCCAUAUUACAACUAAAUUCAAUCCUACUCAUGUAUUUAACAAUGUACAUACUGCCCUGCAGGCCAUUCUCUGCUACUACAACACGUUCAAUCCACCAACCCGUCUCACAUCACUGUACUAUAGCUACGUUGGUUCAAACGGAAAUGUAGUUUGGUGUGAGACUGUUGUCCAGCAGAGGGAGCUGUCAUACACCUUAAUUAUACAGAAAUGUCUAUUUACAUUUUAAAAUGUUCAUGGGCUGGUCUAGUUUGUCUGCAAAUAACUCUGCCUCCAGCAACAGGAUUGGUCGAAACAUAUGAAGUGAAGGAAAUAAACCAUGAAGCAUACGGCCU
ensembl:lncRNA